rnacentral:rRNA from 1 species
AGAGUGAACGCUGGCGGUAGGCCUAACACAUGCAAGUCGAACGGCAGCACAGUGGUAGCAAUACCAUGGGUGGCGAGUGGCGGACGGGCGAGGAAUACAUCGGAAUCUACCUUUUCGUGGGGGAUAGCGUAGGGAAACUUACGCUAAUACCGCAUACGCCCUUUGGGGGAAAGCCGGGGAUCGCAAGACCUGGCGCGGAUAGAUGAGCCGAUGUCGGAUUAGCUAGUUGGUGAGGUAAUGGCUCACCAAAGGCGACGAUCCGUAGC